UGUCAGCUUGCUGUUUGUCCCACUGAAGCUGAACUUGUCAACAGGACGUGAGUCCUGCCAAGUCUGAGCACAGAGUGGGACACAAAACCACUUGUCAUCCUAUGCUCAGUGGUGUCCUGUAAACCAGUGUCUUCAGAUCCACAGUUUCAGGUUAUGGCUAUUUGAUGUAAGAAUGGCUAGGUAGGUCUAGUCAUGGCCAGGUACCCAAUGCCCGGCAGACUUGUGGGAGAUUUGACUCUUUAGAACGCUAUCUGGCCAAUUUGAGUCUCCACCUAUCGUAGGGUUUUAUUGCUGUGAAUAGACCCAAUUCUCAAAGCAACUUUUUAUAAAGGACAGUUCAUCAUCAUCAUGGUGGGAAACAUGGCAGUGUGCAGGCAGAGAUGGUGCUGGAGAGGGAGCUGGGAGUUCUAUCUACAUCUUGAUCCAAAGGCGGCCAGAAAGAAACUCUCUUCUGUCUUGGGCAGAGCUUAAUAGAACCCUAAAGCUCAUCCCCUCAAUAAGGCACUUCCUCCAACAAGGACACAUCUCCUCCAACAAGGCCACACCUCCUUCAACAAGGCCACACCUCCUCCAACAAGGCCACACCUCCUUCAACAAGGCCACACCUCCUCCAACAAGGCCACACCUCCAGAUAGUGCCACUUUCCAGGGCCAAGCAUAUUCGAAUCACCACACUGCCCCAAGAAAAAGGCUCCCCCUACCCUCCCACAGUGCAUGCGCAGUUGAGGUGGCAAGCACCGAUGCCCGAUCGCGGAUGCCGGAUCGCAGAUGCCCGAUCGCAGAUGCCGGGUCUCUGAGUCUCAUCUCCUACAUACUUCUACUGCAAAGAGGGUCAACGUGCCUAAAACCUUAAGGACUUUCUGUAAGAAACGCGGCAAGCAUCAGCCUCACAAAGUGACCUAGAAUAAGAAGGGCACGGGUUCCCUGUGCGCCCAAGGAUUGCAAGCAGGGUGGCUAUGGCCGGCAGACAACGUCAAGUUUCUGAAAGAAGGCUAAGAGCACUAAGAAGAUUGUGCGCAGGCUUGAGGGUGUGGAGCCCAACUGCAGAUCCAAGAGGAUGCUGGCCAUUAAGAAGAGCAAGCAUUGGGGUUGGGGAUUUAGCUCAGUGGUACAGCGCUUGCCUAACAAGCGCAAGGCCCUGGGUUCGGUCCCCAGCUCCGAAAAAAAAGAAAAAAGAAAAGAAAAAAGAAAAGAAAAAAGAAAAGCAAGCAUUUUAAACUGGGAGGCAAUAAGAAGAAAAAGAGUCAAGUGAUCCAGUUCUAAAACUUGUGUUCUCUGAGGAAAAAUUACUGAAGCAGUACAAGAAUUACCUGUUAGAAAAUAAAGCUAUUGUCAGUGAUACCAAAAAAAAAAAAAAAAAAAAAAAACCAAAAACCAAAAACCAAAAACAAAAAAAAAAAUCCACAUUGAUGUAUUUAAAAAAAAAAAAGCAGGCAGUACUGUAGGCUUAGAUUUUUCAAAACCUACUUUAAUAAGGACUCAUAUACACUUCAACCUCCCUUCUGGUCCAUCGACCAAAGUUAAGGGAGAAAGAGGUUAACAAGACAAGAGAUAUAUGGACCUGUUAGAAGUAGUUCUUUGGUGGGGUUGCGGAUUUAGCUCAGUGGUAGAGCGCUUGCCUAGCGAGCACAGGCCCUGGUUCGGUCCCCAGCUCCAGAAAAAAAAAAAAAAAAGAAGUAGUUCUUUGGGGAGAUUCCAAUCUUCAUGGUCAGGAUAUCAGCAGUCCACUCCAAAGCAUCAAAUAUCAAACACGCACAGCGGGAAGUUCUUUGGGACGUUUCUCUCUAAGAAGUCACCACAAGAGAAGAUCGGCAAAGACCAGAAAAGUGUUGCAAGGCGAACCAAUGCAGGAGCCUAGUUCACUGUCUGUGGGGUUCUACUUAUAAACGUCACGCUUCCUCUCACGUGUCUGCCUCAGGAAAAAACGUCCUCUCAUAAGACAGUUUCCAGAAAAACGUCACGUGACACAGCCAAGUCUCCAAAGAAACCAGAAAUUUCCAUUUCGCUGUCUAAAUCUUAUUUUAAGGGAUGCCAGACAGUUAACAGGUUACAGAUACAGUAAACUAGAAAAAAAGCCACUUAACUCACCCCAGAGUACUGACAAAGGCACACGAAUAACCCCAUCGCAGCCAUACUCAACGAAACAGCCUCGCUUAGGAAGUAAUUCCCACCACCCUCACGACGGAUUUGACCACAUCUCUGACAGGCUUAGUGGGCAAAGCCCUUGCCUAGCCAGCAGCCCUUCCCCAUCGGUGUUUGGAACUGGGCUGUUUACAGGCUUACGUGUCUUCCUGCCGUGACCCUCCCGGGAGUAUGUGCACUCCAUAGUCCUUCAUCAGAUGCUAAGCACAAUGCCUCUGUGCCAUUUGCAGUGUUCAUGUGUACAGCAAACGGUUCUUUUUCUAUUCUUUCUGCCGUGCCCAGGAUCACGGCAUCCUCUUGUCUCCCUGGCCUCUGUGGACUACAGCCAGCGACGUCGGAGAGGAUGCUCUCUGCAUAUGCCUCGCUUUGGCUCUUGCCUGCUGGGUGCCCUCUGACCUCGAGCUGGCUUUCCUAAAAUCUGUCCUUGCCAGUUGUACCUGGGAUGACGAUUGCGUGAUGUAAUUAAAAACAUCCACUGUGCUGAAAA